rnacentral:rRNA from 1 species
GCGAAUUGGUUUCGUGGAGUACGCACAAAGGGGUCGAAAUUCGUGGUAUACCGUGAAAUUCUUAGAUAUCACGGAGAACUCCGAUUUCGAAGUCAGCUUACUGGAGCGCAACUGACGCUGAAGCUCGAAAGUGCGGGUAACGAACAGGAUUAGAUACCCUGGUAGUCCGCACGGUAAAACGAUGGAUGCCCGCUGUUGGUCCUGAAUAGGUCAGCGGCCAAGCGAAAGCAUUAAGCAUCCCACCUGGGGAGUACGCCGGCAACGGUGAAAUUUAAAGGAAUUUACGGGGGCCGUACAAGCGGAGGAACAUGUGGUUUAAUUCGAUGAUACGCGAGGAACCUUACCCGGGCUUGAAUUGCAGAGGAAGGAUUUGGAUACAAUGACCGCUUCGGGGCCUCUGUGAAGGUGCUGCAUGGUUGUCGUCAGUUCGUGCCGUGAGGUGUCGGCUUAAGUGCCAUUACGAGUGCAACCCCUCUCCGUAGUUGCCAUCAGGUUAAGCUGGGCACUCUGGGGAUACUGCCACCGUAAGGUGUGAGGAAGGUGGGGAUGACGUCAAAUCAGCACGGCCCUUACGUCCGGGGCUACACACGUGUUACAAUGGCAGGUACAGAGAGAUGGUGUUCUGCAAAGCGCAUUAAAUCCUUAAAGCCUGUCUCAGUUCGGACUGGGGUCUGCAACCCGACCCCACGAAGCUGGAUUCGCUAGUAAUCGCGCAUCAGCCAUGGCGCGGUGAAUACGUUCCCGGGCCUUGUACACACCGC